UACGUGCCAGCAGCCGCGGUAAUACGUAGGGUCCAAGCGUUAUCCGGAUUUAUUGGGCGUAAAGAGUUGCGUAGGCGGUAGAGUAAGCAAAUAGUGAAAGGAUGUGGCUCAACCACAUGAACAUUAUUUGAACUGCUCAACUAGAGAGUGGAAGAGGUAGCUGGAAUUAUUAGUGGAGGAGUAAUAUCCGUAGAUAUUAGUAGGAACACCAAUGGCGAAGGCAGGCUACUGGUCCAUUUCUGACGCUCAGGCACGAAAGCGUAGGUAGCAAACAGGAUUAGAUACCCUGGUAGUCUACGCUGUAAACGAUGGAUACUAGCAUUCGGAGGUGUCGACCCCUUCGGUAGCGAAGCUAACGCGUUAAGUAUCCCGCCUGUGUAGUACGAGCGCAAGCUUAAAACAUAAAGGAAUUGACGGGGACCCGCACAAGUGGUGGAGCGUGUUCUUUAAUACGAGGCUAAGCGUAGAACCUUACCAGGGUUUGAAAUCCCGAGAAGUCUUUCGAAAGUUAGAUGUGCCUUAUGGAACUCGGUGACAGGUGUUGCAUGGCCGUCGUCAGCUCGUGUCGUGAGAUGUUGGGUUAAGUCCCGCAACGAGCGCAACCCCUAUAUUUAGUUGUAUUUUUCUAGAUAGACUGCCUCGGUAACGGGGAGGAAGGAGGGGACGACGUCUGGUCAUUAUGGCCCUUAUACCCUGGGCUAGAAACGCGCUACAAUGGUCGGUACAAUGGGCAUCAGCCAAAUCGCGAGAUGGAGCAAAUCCCAACAAAGCCGAUCUCAGUUCGGAUAGCAGGCUGAAACUCGCCUGCUUGAAGUCGGAAUCACUAGUAACCGUAGGUCAGCACACUACGGUGAAUACGUUCCCGGGUCUUGUACACACCGCCCGUCAAGCCAUGGAAGUCACCAAUACCCGAAGUCUCACUUUAUGUGGGCCUAAGGUAGGGGGGAUAACUGGGGUUAAGUCGUAACAAGGUUUCCGUACCGGAAGGUGCGGAUG
rnacentral:rRNA from 1 species